CCCUUAGAUGUUCUGGGCCGCACGCGCGCUACACUGAUGCAUUCAACGAGUCUAAAACCUGCUCUGAUAGGGGUGGGUAAUCUUUUGAAUGUGCACCGUGAUUGGGAUAGAUGAUUGCAAUUUUUCAUCUUCAACGAGGAAUGCCUAGUAAACGCAAGUCAUCAGCUUGCAUUGAUUACGUCCCUGCCCUUUGUACACACCGCCCGUCGCUCCUACCGAUUGAAUGAUCCGAUGAAUAUCAUGGAUUGAGGAUGCAAGCAGGUUCGCCUGUCUUCAUCUUCGAGAAGUGAAGUAAAUCUUAUCAUUUAGAGGAAGGAGAAGUCGUAACA
rnacentral:rRNA from 1 species